UGAGGAAUAUUGGUCAAUGGGAGGAAUCCUGAACCAGCCAUGCCGCGUGCAGGACGACGGCUCUACGAGUUGUAAACUGCUUUUGUACCGGGGUAAAAUGCUCUACGAGUAGGGUUUUGAAAGUACGGUACGAAUAAGGAUCGGCUAACUCCGUGCCAGCAGCCGCGGUAAUACGGAGGAUCCGAGCGUUAUCCGGAUUCAUUGGGUUUAAAGGGUGCGUAGGUUGUUUUAUAAGUUAGCGGUGAAAUACCGAUGCUCAACAUCGGGGCUGCCGCUAAUACUGUAGGACUAGAGAUCGGAUGCAGCAGGCGGAAUGUGUAGUGUAGCGGUGAAAUGCAUAGAUAUUGCGCAGAACUCCGAUUGCGAAGGCAGCGUACUGGCGCCUGACUGACGCUGAGGCACGAAAGCGUGGGGAUCGAACAGGAUUAGAUACCC
rnacentral:rRNA from 1 species